CCCUUAGAGUUUGAUCCUGGCUCAGGAUGAACGCUAGCUACAGGCUUAACACAUGCAAGUCGAGGGGAAACGACAUCGAAAGCUUGCUUUUGAUGGGCGUCGACCGGCGCACGGGUGAGUAACGCGUAUCCAACCUGCCCAUCACUUGGGGAUAACCUUGCGAAAGUAAGACUAAUACCCAAUGAUAUCUCUAGAAGACAUCUGAAAGAGAUUAAAGAUUUAUCGGUGAUGGAUGGGGAUGCGUCUGAUUAGCUUGUUGGCGGGGUAACGGCCCACCAAGGCGACGAUCAGUAGGGGUUCUGAGAGGAAGGUCCCCCACAUUGGAACUGAGACACGGUCCAAACUCCUACGGGAGGCAGCAGUGAGGAAUAUUGGUCAAUGGGCGAGAGCCUGAACCAGCCAAGUAGCGUGCAGGAUGACGGCCCUAUGGGUUGUAAACUGCUUUUAUAAGGGAAUAAAGUGAGUCUCGUGAGAUUUUUUGCAUGUACCUUAUGAAUAAGGACCGGCUAAUUCCGUGCCAGCAGCCGCGGUAAUACGGAAGGUCCGGGCGUUAUCCGGAUUUAUUGGGUUUAAAGGGAGCGUAGGCCGGAGAUUAAGCGUGUUGUGAAAUGUAGACGCUCAACGUCUGCACUGCAGCGCGAACUGGUUUCCUUGAGUACGCACAAAGUGGGCGGAAUUCGUGGUGUAGCGGUGAAAUGCUUAGAUAUCACGAAGAACUCCGAUUGCGAAGGCAGCUCACUGGAGCGCAACUGACGCUGAAGCUCGAAAGUGCGGGUAUCGAACAGGAUUAGAUACCCUGGUAGUCCGCACGGUAAACGAUGGAUGCCCGCUGUUGGUCUGAAUAGGUCAGCGGCCAAGCGAAAGCAUUAAGCAUCCCACCUGGGGAGUACGCCGGCAACGGUGAAACUCAAAGGAAUUGACGG
rnacentral:rRNA from 1 species